GACGAACCGUGCGAACGUUGUUCGGAAUCACUGGGCUUAAAGGGCGCGUAGGCGGGCUCGCCAGUCAGGGGUGAAAUCCCGCGGCUCAACCGUGGAAGUGCCUCUGAUACUGCGAGUCUCGAGGGAGGUAGGGGCGUGCGGAACUUCCGGUGGAGCGGUGAAAUGCGUAGAUAUCGGAAGGAACACCGGUGGCGAAAGCGGCGCGCUGGACCUCUUCUGACGCUGAGGCGCGAAAGCCAGGGGAGCAAACGGG
rnacentral:rRNA from 1 species